ACUCAAAUGAAUUGACGGGGGCCCGCACAAGCAGUGGAGCAUGUGGUUUAAUUCGAAGCAACGCGAAGAACCUUACCAAGACUUGACAUCCCGCUGACCGGCUUAGAGAUAGGCCUUCCCUUCGGGGCAGCGGAGACAGGUGGUGCAUGGUUGUCGUCAGCUCGUGUCGUGAGAUGUUGGGUUAAGUCCCGCAACGAGCGCAACCCUUGAGCUGUGUUACCAGCAUUAAGUUGGGGACUCACAGCUGACUGCCGGUGACAAACCGGAGGAAGGUGGGGAUGACGUCAAAUCAUCAUGCCCCUUAUGUCUUGGGCUACACACGUGCUACAAUGGGCGGUACAACGGGAAGCGAAGGAGCGAUCUGGAGCCAAACCCUGAAAGCCGUUCGUAGUUCGGAUUGCAGGCUGCAACUCGCCUGCAUGAAGCCGGAAUUGCUAGUAAUCGCGGAUCAGCAUGCCGCGGUGAAUACGUUCCCGGGCCUUGUACACACCGCCCGU
rnacentral:rRNA from 1 species